rnacentral:rRNA from 1 species
UCAUACAUGCAAGUCGAGCGCAUUGAAGGGAGCUUGCUCCCGGAUGUGAGCGGCGGAUGGGUGAGUAACACGUGGGUAACCUGCCUGUCAGAUUGGGAUAACUGUGGGAAACCGCAGCUAAUACCGAAUGAUCCCCUGCACCACAUGGUGCAGGGUUGAAAGAUGGUUUCGGCCAUCACUGACAGAUGGGCCCGCGGUGCAUUAGUUAGUUGGCGGGGUAACGGCCCACCAAGACAGCGAUGCAUAGCCGACCUGAGAGGGUGAUCGGCCACAUUGGGACUGAGACACGGCCCAAACUCCUACGGGAGGCAGCAGUAGGGAAUCUUCCACAAUGGACGAAAGUCUGAUGGAGCAACGCCGCGUGAGCGAAGAAGGUUUUCGGAUCGUAAAGCUCUGUUGCCGGAGAAGAAUGAGUAUGAGAGGAAAUGCUUGUACUGUGACGGUAUCCGGCCAGAAAGCCACGGCUAACUACGUGCCAGCAGCCGCGGUAAUACGUAGGUGGCAAGCGUUGUCCGGAAUUAUUGGGCGUAAAGCGCGCGCAGGCGGCUUCUUAAGUCUGAUGUGAAAUCUUGCGGCUCAACCGCAAAUGGUCAUUGGAAACUGGGAAGCUUGAGUGCAGAAGAGGAGAGUAGAAUUCCACGUGUAGCGGUGAAAUGCGUAGAUAUGUGGAGGAAUACCAGUGGCGAAGGCGGCUCUCUGGUCUGUAACUGACGCUGAGGCGCGAAAGCGUGGGGAGCAAACAGGAUUAGAUACCCUGGUAGUCCACGCCGUAAACGAUGAAUGCUAGGUGUUAGGGGGUCCAACCCUUAGUGCUGAAGUUAACACAUUAAGCAUUCCGCCUGGGGAGUACGACCGCAAGGUUGAAACUCAAAGGAAUUGACGGGGGCCCGCACAAGCAGUGGAGCAUGUGGUUUAAUUCGAAGCAACGCGAAGAACCUUACCAGGUCUUGACAUCCUCUGACAAGUCUAGAGAUAGGCCGUUCCCCUUCGGGGGACAGAGUGACAGGUGGUGCAUGGUUGUCGUCAGCUCGUGUCGUGAGAUGUUGGGUUAAGUCCCGCAACGAGCGCAACCCUUGAUCUUAGUUGCCAGCAUUCAGUUGGGCACUCUAAGGUGACUGCCGGUGACAAACCGGAGGAAGGUGGGGAUGACGUCAAAUCAUCA